GGUUGUGACUCAGUGGUAGAGCGCUUGCCUAGCAUGCAUGAGGCACUGGGUUCGAUCCCUGGCACCA
rnacentral:tRNA from 1 species